GACGAACGCUGGCGGCGUGCUUAACACAUGCAAGUCGAACGGAAAGGCCCUGCUUUUGUGGGGUGCUCGAGUGGCGAACGGGUGAGUAACACGUGAGUAACCUGCCCUUGACCUUGGGAUAACUUCAGGAAACUGGGGCUAAUACCGGAUAGGAGCUCCUGCUGCAUGGUGGGGGUGGGAAAGUUUCGGCGGUUGGGGCUGGACUCGCGGCUUAUCAGCUUGUUGGUGGGGUAGUGGCUUACCAAGGCUUUGACGGGUAGCCGGCCUGGGAGGGUGACCGGCCACAUUGGGACUGGGAUACGGCCCAGACUCCUACGGGAGGCAGCAGUGGGGGAUAUUGCACAAUGGGCGGAAGCCUGAUGCAGCAACGCCGCGUGCGGGAUGGCGGCCUUCGGGUUGUAAACCGCUUUCGCCUGUGACGAAGCGUGAGUGACGGUAAUGGGUAAAGAAGCACCGGCUAACUACGUG
rnacentral:rRNA from 1 species